AGGAAUAUUGGUCAAUGGGCGGGAGCCUGAACCAGCCAAGUCGCGUGAGGGAAGACGGUCCUACGGAUUGUAAACCUCUUUUGCCGGGGAGCAACGGGGUCCUUGCGAGGGCCCAAUGAGAGUACCCGGAGAAAAAGCAUCGGCUAACUCCGUGCCAGCAGCCGCGGUAAUACGGAGGAUGCGAGCGUUAUCCGGAUUUAUUGGGUUUAAAGGGUGCGUAGGCGGGCUGUUAAGUCAGCGGUAAAAAUUCGGGGCUCAACCCCGUCCGGCCGUUGAAACUGGGGGCCUUGAGUGGGCGAGAAGAAGGCGGAAUGCGUGGUGUAGCGGUGAAAUGCAUAGAUAUCACGCAGAACCCCGAUUGCGAAGGCAGCCUUCCGGCGCCCUACUGACGCUGAGGCACGAAAGUGCGGGGAUCGAACAG
rnacentral:rRNA from 1 species